ACGAGUUUUCUCCUUAAACUAUCGCUAACAGCCAACACUCAAAAUGUAAUGUGAAAAGGGUAAUAUAGUUUUCUGUACCUAAUUAUUUGUUCGUUUGCUUCUGCUUUUCCUAUUAUAGCCUAUCACCUAACACCACAAGUAUUUUGAUUGAAUUGGAUUUCUGUGACAGAAAUUGUAAUGUGGAACGUCUGCUGCUGUUGUUUGAUCGCCAAUAGAAGUUCACCCCCUUCACUCAAUAUCUUUAGCGAAUGCCUAUCUGUAGGACAGUCGAAGAUCUAUGAGGCUAUGAUUAAUGAAACUCUCAAUAUUCAAUUUUCGUUCAAUGAUACUGUUAAAAGUAAUGUAUUGAUUUGUGACAGCUGCAUUUUGAAGACAAAGCAAGCAUGUGCUUUUAAAAAGACUGUGUUACAAAGUCAGCAGAUGCUUACAAAAUUUCUGGAGAGUUUACAAUGUAAUAGUAAUAAUAAACUUAACGACAUAUUAGAAGAAAUGAUCAAAACAGAGUCCAAUGAUAACAGGUCUGAUAUAAGUUAUGAUAAUGACAAAACAUCUCUUGAGGAUGAAAUAUUUAUUGUUAGAAAUCAAGAACCUAAAAUGUUAAUAAAAUGUUGCUCUACAGACUUAUCAGUUACAAAACAGAAUCAAGAAAUUUCAUUGCAAGCUGUAUCAUAUGUAAAACAAGUAUCUAUGUCUAAAGAUGAAGCCAAAAAUUCAAACAAUGGUGGAGGAAAUGAUUGUAAUAAAGUUAUAGCACAUCGUGGUAAUGGACCAAUAUUGAGAGAAAACUCUUUGAAAGUGCUGAAAAAUUCUACAGUAUUUGCCUUCCAAUGGUAUAAAAGCAAAUACACUUGUUUCUGUUGUCAAAAAUCUUUUUCAAAUAUGGAUAAGCUUAGAAUUCAUGCAACAAAACACACCUUGAAAGAUAUAGAAAAAAAAAUAAUACUUCAAAAAAAUAUGUUAGUCAAAGUAGAAGUGUCUGUCUUGAAUUGCAAAUUAUGUUGUAAACCUUUAGAGGAUUUAGAAAAGUUAAGGGAACACCUGCAAGUCGAUCAUAAUUUUGACUUUCAACUUAAAGAAGAUUUAUUGGUCCCUUUCAAGAUUCAAGGAGACACAUUAGAGUGCCAGAUAUGUUCUGAAAAGUUUACCAUGUUUAGAUUAUUGAACAUUCACAUGAACAAGCAUUUCCAGAAACAAGUGUGUCAUGUGUGCGGUGCUACUUUCUCAAACCUAAAAUUCCUCAAUUUACACAAGUCUAGGUUACAUAGACGUUUAAACUGCAAAGAAUGUAAUGUAGAAUUUUUAUCGAAAAUUGAAAAAAGAAACCAUGAUUUCACAGUGCAUAAGAUAAAAUCUGCCAAAAAAUUUAGAUUUCCAUGUCCUCAUUGUGAUGAAAGAUACUAUCAGGAAAGGUUCAGAGUUUUACAUUUGGUAGAAAAGCAUGGUAUGCACCGUCCAGAGCAUAAAUGCUCCAUGUGUGCAAAAGUAUUUAUAACAAAGAGCCUUUGCAACAGUCAUUAUAAGGUUGUACACAAGAAAGAGAGAAAACAUUCAUGUGAUAUUUGUAAUCAUCAGUUUUACACAAAGUCAGGUGUUGCAAGACAUCGGGUCACACACACUGGUGAGAAAAAAUUUUCAUGUGCCAUUUGUAGUGGCCGAUUUGCAACAAAGGACUCUUUGAGAAGGCACAUGAAAAGAACACAUGCUGCUACUUUUUGAAUCUAUCUGAACAAGAAGAGAAUAUAAAAAUAAAAGAAUUUUAAGUAUUUUUAUAAAUUAAGGUAGAAGAAAUUGCAGAACUGACCUGGAAUCUGCAGCAAUGUUUUAUAGAAGCAACAGUGCUCAAUCCAUUAUUACUGAAAUAUCCAAUAAAUAAGAAUUUUUCAAGAUUAUAUUUGAAGAAAUUGAUAGACUAUUU